rnacentral:rRNA from 1 species
GACGAACGCUGGCGGCGUGCUUAACACAUGCAAGUCGAACGGAAAGGCCCUGCUUUUGUGGGGUGCUCGAGUGGCGAACGGGUGAGUAACACGUGAGUAACCUGCCCUUGACUUUGGGAUAACUUCAGGAAACUGGGGCUAAUACCGGAUAGGAGCUCCUGCUGCAUGGUGGGGGUUGGAAAGUUUCGGCGGUUGGGGAUGGACUCGCGGCUUAUCAGCUUGUUGGUGGGGUAGUGGCUUACCAAGGCUUUGACGGGUAGCCGGCCUGAGAGGGUGACCGGCCACAUUGGGACUGAGAUACGGCCCAGACUCCUACGGGAGGCAGCAGUGGGGAAUAUUGCACAAUGGGCGGAAGCCUGAUGCAGCAACGCCGCGUGCGGGAGGACGGCCUUCGGGUGGUAAACCGCUUUCGCCUGUGACGAAGCGUGAGUGACGGUAAUGGGUAAAGAAGCACCGGCUAACUACGU